rnacentral:rRNA from 1 species
AGGCUGCAACUCGCCUGCAUGAAGUCGGAAUUGCUAGUAAUCGCAGAUCAGCAUGCUGCGGUGAAUACGUUCCCGGGCCUUGUACACACCGCCCGUCACACCAUGGGAGUCGGUAACACCCGAAGUCGGUAGUCUAACCGAAAGGAGGACGCCGCCGAGGUGGGAUUGAUGACUGGGGUGAAGUCGUAACAAGGUAAC